AGAGUCAGAGCCAAAGCCGCCAUUCCAAUCUCCAAUUGUGUCUCUAAGAUGGACCUGGAAGAAAUGAACCAAUAUGGGAUUGUCCCAUUGCUUCAAAUGGCUGCAGAUUUGCUAAACGAUAGGCUACCUGAGGCAAGGGAAGCAGCUCGGAGUAUCGUGAUGGGAGUGUUCAAAGCAUUCACGGCAAACGAGGAAGAGAAACAGGAGGCUUGGCAAAGCUUUUGCCAAACUAAUCUGUCGCCGAUUCAAGCUCAGUCUUUGCUCAAAGUUACCUCUUCCCUAUAAGCGGUGGUUUUGGGUAAGCUUAGAUAAGUGCUGCUGUGCUUGGCAGACCCUUAGGAUGAUGAUGAUCAUCAAGUUUCCUUUUAGGUUUGGAAAUUUUUAUGUGUUCUAUGAAAGCUUCCACUCUUACAUGAUGAGUUCUGCUUUCUACUUCUCAGGAAUUUGUUCUGUAGAACAGCUUUUUUUCUUGUUCUCUUCCUUUCCCUUUGUUGGUGUGGAAGAGAGAUUGUGAAAGACAAUAAACAAGUUGUUGUUGCACAUUU